ensembl:lncRNA
GGGAGACUGAAUGGGAAUACUAGGUCCUGUAAGCUUUUUAUUUGGAUCAGUGUUUUCAUGGCCUCUGCACAACAUCCUGUUUUGGGAUAAAGGUUGGACACAGGUUUGAAGGGGACCCAAUCAAUCAAUCAAUCAAUCAGUCAGUCAGUCUUUUGAUUACACUAUUUAAAUAGGCCCCAUUUGGGGUCAGCUUUCGCUUACGGCCAUACCACUCUGAAAAAGCCUGAUCUCAUCUGACCUCGGAAGCAAAGCAGAGCUGGGCCUGGUUAGUACUUGGUUGGGAGACUGAAUGGGAAUACUAGGUGCUGUAAGCUUUUUAUUUGGAUCAGUGUUUUCAUGGCCUCUGCACAACAUCCUGUUUUGAGAUAAAGGUUGGACACAGGUUUGAAGGGGACCCAAUCAAUCAAUCAAUCAGUCAGUCAGUCUUUUGAUUACACUAUUUAAAUAGGCCCCAUUUGGGGUCAGCUUUCGCUUACGGCCAUACCACUCUGAAAAAGCCUGAUCUCAUCUGACCUCGGAAGCAAAGCAGAGCUGGGCCUGGUUAGUACUUGGUUGGGAGACUGAAUGGGAAUACUAGGUGCUGUAAGCUUUUUAUUUGGAUCAGUGUUUUCAUGGCCUCUGCACAACAUCCUGUUUUGAGAUAAAGGUUGGACACAGGUUUGAAGGGGACCCAAUCAAUCAAUCAGUCAGUCAGUCUUUUGAUUACACUAUUUAAAUAGGCCCCAUUUGGGGUCAGCUUUCGGUUACGGCCAUACCACUCUGACAAAGCCUGAUCUCAUCUGACCUCGGAAGCAAAGCAGAGUUGGGCCUGGUUAGUACUCGGUUGGGAGACUGAAUGGGAAUACUAG